AGUGGCAUGGCUCAGGAGGUAGAGCGGGCAGGCUAGGAAUCUGAAGGUUCCUGGUUUGAUCCCCGGCUCCUCCA